UGCCCAGCAACUUCUAUCCCUACCUUCAAGUGGCACCGGCCGGACUGCGAGCAACCUUAGGGAUCAGGUAACCAACUCCGGUGGAAACUUUGGUCGUAGUCUGACAGGGAAGG
rnacentral:ribozyme from 1 species